GGAUGCCCUCCGUCGUCACCCCUUAUAACCUGUUACCCCCGUUGGGACUAGGUCGUUACGGCGCACACACUUCUUCCGGAAGCCCAACAUUUCGUGAAAAUAGCCCCUGCUUUGCGCGGCCCACUUAUCGGACCACUUGCCUGCCAUCGG
rnacentral:rRNA from 1 species